UGUAUCUGAAGUCUGACGAGGAUGAGAACCUCCGGGGGCAAGAGGUUCGACCCGAGCGAAGCGAGAGAACAUUGCGUCAGCAACGGCCCGCAGGGCGAGCCAUCCUCUAUCACCGGCAG
rnacentral:sRNA from 1 species